CGGAGGGUGCAAGCGUUAUCCGGAUUUACUGGGUUUAAAGGGUGUGUAGGCGGGCUAUUAAGUCAGUGGUGAAAUCUCCGAGCUCAACUUGGAAACUGCCAUUGAUACUAUUAGUCUUGAAUUUUGUUGAGGUAGGCGGAAUAAGUCAUGUAGCGGUGAAAUGCUUAGAUAUGACUUAGAACACCAAUUGCGAAGGCAGCUUGCUAAACAAACAUUGACGCUGAGGCACGAAAGCGUGGGGAUCAAACAGGAUUAGAUACCCUGGUAGUCCACGCCCUAAACGAUGAUUACUCGACAUACGCGAUACACAGUGUGUGUCUGAGCGAAAGCAUUAAGUAAUCCACCUGGGAAGUACGACCGCAAGGUUG
rnacentral:rRNA from 1 species